rnacentral:rRNA from 1 species
AUUGAACGCUGGCGGCAUGCUUUACACAUGCAAGUCGAACGGUAACAGGCCUUCGGGCGCUGACGAGUGGCGAACGGGUGAGUAAUGCAUCGGAACGUGCCCAGUCGUGGGGGAUAACGCAGCGAAAGCUGUGCUAAUACCGCAUACGAUCUAUGGAUGAAAGCGGGGGACCGUAAGGCCUCGCGCGAUUGGAGCGGCCGAUGUCAGAUUAGGUAGUUGGUGGGGUAAAGGCCCACCAAGCCAACGAUCUGUAGCUGGUCUGAGAGGACGACCAGCCACACUGGGACUGAGACACGGCCCAGACUCCUACGGGAGGCAGCAGUGGGGAAUUUUGGACAAUGGGCGCAAGCCUGAUCCAGCAAUGCCGCGUGCAGGAAGAAGGCCUUCGGGUUGUAAACUGCUUUUGUACGGAACGAAAAGGUCUGGGUUAAUACCCUGGGCACAUGACGGUACCGUAAGAAUAAGCACCGGCUAACUACGUGCCAGCCGCCGCGGUAA